GAAAAAUUAGUGGGGUCUAAAUUAUGACAGGGUCUCAGCACGGUAACAGGGGAGUGUCUGCCCGAGUUCCAUAUCUGUGUGUGUCUCUUACACACAUGCACGCAUGCACACACACCACACACUUCCUGGGUCCCAUGUCUAUGUGUGUCUAAGACACACACACACACCCUGGGUCCCACAUCUGUGUGUGUCUUUAAGACACAUACGCACACACACCCCAGGUCACCCAUCUGUGUGUGUCUCUAAGAUACACAAGCACAGACACACCGCAGGUCCCACAUCUGUGUGUGUCUCUAAGACACACACCCACCUACCCACGCACCCACCCACCAGCUCUAGGUUUCAGCGGGGUUUUCUAAGCACUCAGAUUGCCUGGGUCAGAGUCCCACCCCGAGAGGUCCAGGGCGUGAGCCCAGAACCCUCUCUCUGAGGACGCGCCGCAGCAGCAGAAAUUUAUGAGCAGAGGUGCUGGGACCGGGGUGCCCNNNNNNNNNNNNNNNNNNNNNNNNNNNNNNNNNNNNNNNNNNNNNNNNNNNNNNNNNNNNNNNNNNNNNNNNNNNNNNNNNNNNNNNNNNNNNNNNNNNAAAUUUAUGAGCAGAGGUGCUGGGACCGGGGUGCCCAUAUAUCUCCUCAGGAAACAGCCCCUGCGGAUGCCCGGGCGGGUGGUGAGUACAUGCUGAGUGGGGGUGCGGUGGGUGCGUCGGGGAAAAGAAGCUAGUGAGUGACAGGCAGGAGCUGGAUCUCAGGGCCCGGGGACAGGGCCAGAAAUCUCCAGGCGUGAACCGGGAGCGGGUGGUGGCAUUGCCACGGACACAGGAUACGUUCGUCAUCUCUCCAGCACCCCCGCCCCCCACACCGCCUUUCCCUCUGUGUCUCCAGUCAUGGAUUCCGGUUUCUUCCUGCAGAAGCUUGGGCGUCACCUGGCCCUGGGCAGGGCUCCGGGUGAGGGGGGGAGGCGGGCUGACGGUGGAGUCUACGCAGGGGCUGGUCCCCAGGUGCACGAGGGGCUUUGGUAUCACCUGUCCCAGCACUCACUGCACAGAUGGGGAGACUGAGGCCAGAGUGGGCAGGGUGCGGUCUGGGGACGCACGGUGAGUGGGGCUGGUGGCCGGGCUCCCGCGUCCCCGCUGUGGGGGUUCGGGUAUGGUCGCCUGAGCAGGGCAGGCCGGCCUUGGCUGCUGGGGACACCUGCCUCCUGGCCGUCCCCAUGCCCUGUCGGGUACUCUGUGCCCAUGUGCGCCCACGUGGGUGAGCGAGGUGGGGCGGGUGUGGACACAGCUCCAUCUGGCCCCACUGCCGGUCACUCGUCCUGCCCACGUGUAUCCAGUUGAUUCCCAGCUUUGCCGAGCUCUCCGGGGAGGAAAGGGUGUGGAGAGACCUUGGGGACUCAGCACCCAGGUGGGGCAGGAACUGAGGCUUCCGGCCCUCUGAGCUGGAGGGUCCUGAUGGUUAUUCCCUGGGUGGGUUGAGGGUCCAUGCGUGCUCUGCUGGAGCGCGAGCGUGUUGAGGCCCCGGCGACUGAGGGGCUUGUGUCCGGGUUGGGGAGACAGUUGGUGCGCAGGCACAAGCACCCAGUCCUUCCCAGGGCAGUCAGCCUGUCUGGCCCCGCUUUUCAGAAGGGUCCAGCAUCGCCCAAGCUCAAACACGAGCCUGCUGGGGGGCCGAGGCUGGGGUCCUCCUGGGAGCCGGGUCUGGGUCGGCCGCUGGCUCGCAGGAGGAGCCGGGACAGAGGCUGAGGGUGGCAGGGACCGCAGGAGGGCCUGACAGCCUCCCUGGGGCCCCUUGGGGUCAGCAGGGGGCUGUGCCUUGCCUCUCUGCUCUGCCCUGGGGGCUGGGGCGCUGCUGUGGGGAAACCGAGUCACAGCCCCCCCCCCCGCCCCGCACUCAGGCUUCUCGUGACAGCUGUCCCCAUGCCGGAGCUGGGGGACCCUGAGCCUCUGCCUGUGCCUGCUGGGCCCCCUCUUCCAGGUGCGAUGGGAGCCUUAGUUCUCGACCUCGGGGUUCCCGCCCCCGGGAGGGGGCCCCGCUCCUCCUUGGGGGGCUGCUGUACCGCAGGCCUGGGGGCUCCCGGAGGAGGAGUUUGGUAGGCCCUUCAGCAUUUAAAUUCUGGACAUGAGCUUGGGCAAACUCUGGGAGACGGUGAGGGAUGGGCAGGCCUGGCGUGCUGCAGUCCAUGGGGUCGCGGAGUUGGACAUGACCGAGCCACCGACAGCAUAAGCAUCUGGGUGAUCCGGCAGGGAGAGGCUGCCUGUGGGCGGGGCGUGGGGGUGAGGAGGGCGGGGGUUGCCUGGCAUCCAGCCCCUCCUGGCCGACUGAGCAGGGCCUCUGACUCAAGCCCUGGGGGGGCUUGGUCCUGCCGAAAAUAAACCAGGAUCUGUCGGCAAACACGAGGGAGCUUGGGGUUCCCAGCCCACGGGAGGGCUCCACUGGACCCCAGGCUUCCCACGGUGGGGAAACUGAGGCCCAGACUGCAGCGCCAGCAAGCCAGGCCCUCCAGGCUCAGCCCCGCCCGCCUUGGAGAGAGCAGAGGGUCCUUUCGGACCCUGUUGCCUCGCAGCUGGGCCUCAGCUCAGCCUCUGCUGCCUGGGGGCCCAUGUUGGACCCCCCUCUCUUUAACAGUCCCCCCCCCAGCACAACUCUCUGCUGUCUGUCCUCCCCCCG
rnacentral:lncRNA from 1 species